AUACCUUGACAUCUAAUCCAUCUUAUAGGAAAGACCCAACAUGUUCCCUUCCGCUCAUGGAUGUUUUAUUUCUUGGCCCAUCCCCAUGCAGACAUACCCUACUGUAUUAUGCAAUGUGGUAUAAAUAUGUGGGCACAAUCCGUGCGUUCUCCAACUUAGACCAUCACAAAUGUGGUAUAAAUGUGAUGUAAGUUGAGUGGAUUCCAUUAGUAUCACAUGCACUCUGAAUUAGACUUUGAUUAGCAUAUGACUCACAAUUUUCUACCCAUCUGUUUCUUACGCAUUAGUUUACUUUUCCGAGUUGUUGGUGGGGCCUCUGCGUGGGACCAUGACUCUUAAAGAAGGGGAUAUGCGAUUAUAAUAUCGCUGGAGGGAGCCAGAGGCGAGAGAUAAAAGAGAGAAGCGAAGGAGCUGAUAGUACGGAAUCCAUGGCUUCUUCCCCACGCUUUGGUUCUCUCCAUUCUGUCCUGUCUCCCGUGCCAUUCCACUAAAGGUGACGGCUUUGAGGACCCGCCAUGGCCAAAUGCAUGCUCCCUGACGCCGCCGCCGGCUUUUGCCUCUGGCCGACCUUCUCCCCCGCCGCCCUCCGCCGCAGGAUCCUCGAGGCGAUUGCCUGCGGCGCCUCCCGCCACCGCGGCAGACGGAAGGCCUGCGGCGGCGUUGAUGUGACCGAGCCGCUUCCCCGCAGACCGAGGCCUGGCCGGGCGGAGCGGCUCAUGGAGCUACUGCAGGCGGAGCCCUCCGACUCCGGCUCCGACGAGGCGGACGACGCCGAGGCGCGGCGAAAGGUGGAGGCUUUCGAGGAGAUCCAGUGCGUGGUCGGUCGGCUGCAGCUAGACGACCACAAUGCUGGCGGGGAUCGGCGGGAGGAGGCGGCGACGGAGGUGAGGAGGCUCGCGAAGGACGACCCCGAAGCAAGGGAGACGCUCGCGAUGCUCGGAGCGAUCCCGCCUUUGGUCGGGAUGCUUGACUCCAAGGAUCCUGAUCUCCAUGUCGCUGCGCUCUACGCGCUUCUCAACCUAGGGAUUGGCAACGAGUUGAACAAGGCGGCGAUCGUGAAGGCCGGCGCCGUCCACAAGAUGCUACAUUUGAUCGAGUCCGGAAGCAACCCAUCGAUCUCGGAAGCAAUCGUCGCCAAUUUUCUCGGCCUCGGUGCGUUGGAUUCAAACAAGCCCGUCAUUGGUGCCUCCGGCGCGAUCCCCUUCUUGCUAUCCGCCUUUCGAAGCCCUGAGACGAGCCCCACGGCGAGGCAGGACGCUCUACGCGCCCUCUUCAAUCUCUCCAUCGCCUCCGUCAACCUCCCCCUCCUCGUCGACGCCGGCCUCGUCCCCUCCCUCCUGGCGGCGAUCGGCGACAUGGCGGUCACUGAACGCUCCCUCGCGGUGAUAUCCAACCUCGUGGCCUCUGGUGAGGGGCGCCGGGCUGUGAGCCGCUUCGCUGAUGCUUUCGCCAUCCUUAUCGACGUCCUAGGGUGGUGCGACGCAGCCGCGUGCCAGGAGAAGGCAACGUACGUGCUGAUGGUGAUGGCCCACAAGGGGCACGGCGACCGGGCGGCCAUGGUCGAGGCCGGGGCCGUCUCUGCCCUUCUCGAGCUCACGCUGCUAGGCACCCCGCUCGCCCAGAAGCGGGCCUCGCGGCUCUUGGAGAUACUAACAGUGGAGAAAGGGAAAAGAGUGUCAGAGGCAGGAGGGAGUUCCGGCGUGUCGGCGGUGUCGGCGCCAUUGUGUGGGGCGGCGGCGGAGACGGCUCCUGCUGAAGAGGGGAUGAGCGAGGAGAGGAGGGCGGUGAGGGAGCUGGUGCAGCAGAGCCUGCAGAACAACAUGCGAAGGAUCGUCAGGCGGGCGAAUUUGGCUCAGGACUUCGCGCCGUGGGAGCGGCUUAGAGCGCUCACCGCCACCUCUACGUCCAAAAGCUUGCCCUUCUGAGGUGACGAAAAGGAGGAAGAGAGAGAGAGAGAGAGAGAGAGAGAGAGCAGAUCCAUGUGUGCUCAGCAAAACUCUACCUUUCUGUCUCUUCCAUGAUUACAAUUUUGUAAAGCUUAAAGAGAAUAAAGUCGGAAGUAGAGAGAGUAACGUUCUGAAGGAGUUUUGGGGUAAUUAUUAAUGCCUAUUCAAUUGGCAUCACAAAGUUCACGUUCUAAAUAAUGUUUGGACCCAUCACUGACCAUUUGGAACCACAUGGAUUGAAGCCAUAGAAGCAGAGAAUCUUAUCAGUGUUGUGAGUGUUCUUAAGGCUGGUCAUGGAGUCCUUCCCUUUACUUUCUGCAAAGGUUUGGUGGGGGUUUGUUGUCUUCAUAUCAAACACAUAAAUGCCAGAUCUAAUCUUGCUGAAGGAAGAAAGAGGUCAGCAGAAAGCAGAAGAGCUAUUGAAGUUUAAAGCUUGGAAGAUCCAAUCUUCUUUUCCCCCUCAUAUUCAAGUAUUAAUAGGUGCUGUAUUUAUAGGAUAAGAAAGAAUGUCUUGAGGCAUUGUUUAUGAGGUUUGGUAGCAGCUGUUGUUUUUUAUGUUUGAUUUACUAAUUAA